CCGUCACAACGGCUUCCUGGCGUGACGGCGCAAUUCAAUGGAGCA
rnacentral:ncRNA from 1 species